ensembl:lncRNA
CCCCUUCCCAGACCUCAUUUAAGGGCUGGUGGUGGAGGUGAGGGUAUUUUGCUGGAGGUCCGUGUGUACCUGAGGCCCUCUGAAGGUAAGCAGCUUCUUUCCUUUAGUUCUGUGCCUAUGGCUGUUGUGUUUGAGCAAAUACUUGCUGCAGCCUGGGAACUUGCUAUUCUGCUGUCACUGGUGUGCUUUCCGUGGUGUUACGUGUGAGGAACAAUAUCCUGACUCUGCAGCCUGCUCCUGGCUAUGGUGGCAUUUCUUCAAGAUAGAUCACCUGGAAAACACAGCCUAUUUCCUUCCAGUCCCUGGGCUUCUCUCUCCUAGUUGCAGCUCUCAUGUAACACCAGCCUUCAAAGGCCCCCGUUGCUGGGCCUGAUGCAGGAGAAGCACCAGCCACAUCUCCCUGCUCUUUCACUUUCCCUUUCUUGCCCUCUCCCUCCCACGUAAUGUCAGGGAAAUAUGCACAGAGCCUGGUAUCCCGUUAUUGCACCAGUGGAUCUGGGAAUAGAUAGCUGGAGGAGCUUAUGCUCAGGAUACAUCUCAGGGGCCAACUUCCACUGAAGAAGCAGACUACAUUUAAAGCAUUUGAAGACUUGUGGUUUGCGGCCGAAAUCCUGUCUGUGAGAGCUGGUAGUCACUGGUAGUUCAAUCUCCUCUUCUUCAGCUGGCAUUUGUCAUUAAAUAAACAGUGUGCUUCCUCUUUCAGCUAGAUUAGUACAAAUAGAGAGCAAUUCCGGCUCAGUGUCAGCUUAAAACAGAAACUGAAGGCCUAGGAUACUCGUUAUUUGUAAGGAGAAGUUCACAGAGGAGCAAGGUGCCAGAUUAAUGACCCAGGGGACCAUGAGUUUUAUUCAAAGAUGGCCUAAUUCCCAGCAAAGUCCCAGUGCCCAGUUUCCUCCUCAGCAGCCCUGCAUCUCUGAGAGGCUCCCUGCCAGGAGGAAACACUCAUCUCCUCCACAUAGGUAAGACCACAGGCACGAGCAGUUCUGCAAAGCCUUCCGGAGCAGGUGCACCAGGAGCUGGGCACGCAGGAAGCUCACAGCCUCGACAGGGAUCCCCAGUCCAUGGGUGCCUGAGACUUCUGCCACCAUCUGCAGCCGGGGGACUGGUUCCUGUGCCAUGGCCACCCCUCCAGCAGGAGAUGGACAGAGGUCAUGGCGUGCCUUUCACAGCUCUCCCCAGAAGGGGACAUGAAAAGGGGAAAUAAUAACAACAAAGGAUGUUGCUGGUUCUACACGCUUAUUAUUAGCGGAGGAAGGGCUGGGAUUAAUCACUCCCGCAGAAACAGCUGUAAAGGAUGGAAGUAGCUGAUCAAAGUGGACUUUGUUAUUCCCAGUGUAUCAUUCUGCUGAGCAAUGAGAACUAGCAUGGGGCACUGGAGCUUCAAAAGGGUUUUAAUGACUCCAAGGCUUGAACCAAGGACACUGCUGGAGCUAAUCAAGAAGGAAAUCCAGGGCAAGGUGGAAAUGAUGGAAAUGAGUGCUUUGGUCCGAGGAAUUUUUCCACAUCUUUCACUUCCUAAUUCCAUACCUUUGAGGUAAUAAAAUUUACAAUGAUGGAAAAAAAAAUAGCGGGACAAUGGGAAAUGUUCCUCUAUGGACUGGGCUACGUGUGGCUGGGUUGCACCUGAUUCCUGCGCCGGUGGCAGGGGGGACAGAGGGCACAAGGAGCCACUCCAUCUUGCCCUGCUGGCUUCUGACAAAACCACGGUCCUUCCACCUCCUCCUGUCCUAGGAUGGCCCCUCCUAUUGCCAGGCAGGUGAAAAGCACCAUGGAGGCUGGGGCAGGCCCCCUUUCCUCCUUGCUGACUGAAUGGAUGCACGGCAAGUUCCUUCUGCAUCCUCAAGUAUGCAGCCCUGGCACAGCCCUUCAGUCAGCUGCAGGGACAAGAAGUUGCCCUGUGCCGCUGUUGGGGCGAGCUAUGAAUGAGUGCAGAGAAUCUCUGAGCGAUGGCUGGGAAUUAGCUGUGGGGAGCCUGACUCGCCCCCACUGCAGCCAGUGGAGCUCUGCCAUACAAAAGCACAGGCACAUGUCUGCAGAACAGCUCUCACCCUAAUGUGGAGAAGAAAUACAUACUGUAAGGGGUGGCUUUGUUGAUGACACAUCCACCAUGUCGCUCUCUUCUUGCUUCCUUCGUUUCUUCCUUCCUUGUUUCUGUUUAUAGAGCAAAUAGAUCCAAAAGAGCACUUCCUACUCAGCAGUGCUAGCAUCUCUGAGACAGUCAAGGACAUGCUGUCCACAAACAGGUCUUUUUCCUGCCUGUGAAAUGUUGGUCCUCUUUUAAAAGAAAGACUCUGAGAGCAUUCAUAUCCAGACUGUAAGCCUAUCAGCGCCCAUCUUGCUUGGUAUCUCGCAUAAGCCCUGCCUGCCCCGUGGCCCAGCACACAAGGGCCAUGAGGUAUCUUCAGUGCUCUCUCUCUUUCUGCAACCAGAGAAGAUCCAUGGGUCUGUUUCUUGUCACUCCUGUCAGGAAGAAUCCAGCAUGCAUUUUGUGGUUGGAAGUCAAAACUGAGAGCUUUCCUUCCCCAAACCCAGCAGCUGCAGUGUUGUCUGUUUUGCUUUCUCAGCCUAAACAUGCAGCAGCAUGUUCUGCUGAGGGGCAAAUCAAGCGAGAUUCUGGAGCAGACAGAAGGAGAAAUAGAGGCCAAGGAGCACCACCUAGCAAGGGAACCCAGUGCCCCAUACAAGCCACAGCACACUCAGCAGCCCCCCUGCAGCAGCGAUGCACCAUGACUUAGUGAGUGCAUACAGAUUCCUGCUUCCUCCUUUCCCAGCCCAGUGUCUUAACUCCUCUGCAAUGGGCAAGGUGGACCUGACCUGCAUGCAGCUGUCCGUGUCCCUAGGGAUGUGACAUUAACUGAGGCUGGGAACUGCCCCGGCUGCAUCCCUUUCCUCCUG